rnacentral:rRNA from 1 species
ACCCGCUGAACUUAAGCAUAUCAAUAAGCGGAGGAAAAGAAACUAACAAGGAUUCCCCUAGUAACGGCGAGUGAAGCGGGAAAAGCUCAAAUUUAAAAUCUGGUAGCCUUUGGUUAUCCGAGUUGUAAUCUAGAGAAGUAUUUUCCGCGUUGGACCAUGUACAAGUUUCCUGGAACGGAACGUCAUAGAGGGUGAGAAUCCCGUCCUUGACAUGGACUACCAGUGCUUUGUGAUAUACUCUCAAAGAGUCGAGUUGUUUGGGAAUGCAGCUCAAAAUGGGAGGUAAAUUCCUUCUAAAGCUAAAUAUUGGCGAGAGACCGAUAGCGAACAAGUACCGUGAGGGAAAGAUGAAAAGAACUUUGGAAAGAGAGUUAAACAGUACGUGAAAUUGUUAAAAGGGAAACGCUUGAAGUCAGUCACAUUUAUUUGGACUCAGCCUUACUUCGGUCUGGUGCAUUUCCUUAUGAAUGGGUCAGCGUCAAUGUUGCUCGGUGGAAAAAGGUGGAGGAAAUGUGGCUCUUUCGGGAGUGUUAUAGUCCUCUGUCAUAUACAUCGGAUGAUAUUGAGUGGUACAGCAUGCUUUUAGUGGUGCUUGUGCUGGCAUAAUGGCUUUAAGCGACCCGUCUUGAAACACGG